rnacentral:rRNA from 45 species
UAACAAGGUCUCCGUAGGUGAACCUGCGGAGGGAUCAUU